CAUAAUGCACGCUACAUGUGGCUUUGAAGCAAUUAUUAGUGAGACCACUUUCCACAUUGGCGGGACUUUGUGGGAGUGUCAUAGAUUCUCUGCUUGGAGCCACAUUACAGUUGAGUGGAUUUUGUACGGUUCGGAAUAAGGUUGUUGGUAAACCGGGGCCGACAGUCGAGGAUUUCAGGACUCAGCAUUUUGGACAACAAUGCUGUGAACCUUGUUUCGAUAUUGAUGACCACUAUGCUGACCUCCAUGGCCCGCGUGUACAUCUUCUGAAGUCGUCUGUUCUAACUGAAUAAUUCUAGAUAGAUCGCAGAGUUGAUUCUCGCAGGACCCUAACUGAAUAACUCCUGCGAGAUUGCAAAGUUCUUGCAGGGCCCUAUGCAAUCACAUAAUUGUUCCUUUUGUAACCUGUGAACCGGGCAAACCUAAUAAUCCGUGUGAAGGUUCUCGAGUUGGCUACGAAUUGAAGAAAUAUUGAAGACAAUUGUUUAUCAUCUUACUUUAGAGCAAACAGCUACUUUCAGCAGGGAAAAAUUCUGAUUUUCUGGUUCUUGUUUUCGGGUAGAAAUAGGAAAGGAAGCACAUGUAGCAUGAAGUUUAUUUUCGUUGCUUCGAAUAUUUUCUACUCAUUUAGUUUCUUGACAUAACUCGAGUCACAAAGUACAAGCAUUUCGCAGUCAGAAGCGCCCUCGUGGCCAAGAAUUCGUAUGCCUGAAAUGGCAUUCGCUCAGAUCAGAUUAAGAGAAUCUAUUAACCCAGAAUUGCUAUGGAACACACCUAAAGCCUAAUGAGUUAUCAGAUUGGCGAAGCUCGUCCUCACGGUUCAUACCUCGUGGUAAGGGUAUAUUAGAAGAUAUACAUGAACCGAGACCUCCUAUUAUUUCAAAGUGGAUACACUGAAGAAGCCAGAUCUACAGAACAUCAUGAGAAACUGAGGGAGUGAUAUCCAUGAAAUUCAUGCGUGUUGUUUAUUUUAGGGGCAGCAACAACAGAGCAUCUCCAAGCAGUACUCGCAAGUCUCGAAGCAGCAGAAGCAGCAACACAGCGCGAACAGGCUGCACUUUCCAAGACCAUUGCCAUAAAAGGAAAGAAAAACGUCAAUACACAUGAAGCGAUGACAAAGGAUAUGAUGAUGAUGAUGACGACCACAAUACACAGGUUUUCGUGAAAAUAUGUCAAACAUAUGUGGUCUUAGAUCAUAUGUGAUUGAUCACUGCUAGACAUGAUUAGCAAAACGCCAAAACUUAGACCAUUAUUAGUGCAUAAAAGGACGAAAGCGAGAGAGCCACCGAUGAACGAUUGCGAGUGAUGACCACAAGAAAAAGA